CUAUUUUUAACCAUCACCCAAUCACAGCGCAGGAAAUCAAACCGUCAAAAAUAUUUCAAAUUUAACGCCUUUACCAUUGGUCAACCGGCGGAAAUCGCUGUAGAUUAGAACGUGUUCGUGUUGGAUCGGAAUCGUAAAGUUAGAAUUUUAAAUUUACACAAUGUGCAAUUAUCGGAUGAGUCAUGGUGCGUUUGAUACGCUCGAAAUACUUGAAGACUACUUGAAGGAGAACGAAAACGCAGACCACAAAGACAAUUUGAGCACAGCCCGUAGACAACAGAGAAAUUGUUGGCCGAUCGAUGAAUACGAAAUUGACAUCGCAUGCAGGGCGGUAAAUACAUUUCGUAAUUUCUACGACACCACAUGAGUCACCAGCGGCGUCGGCGCCGGCGGGAGUCACCCCCACAAUGUGCAAUGUUCAUUGCACUCGGAAACACUAAGCAGAGAAGACAGAGAUGUUGCCCACAAUGCACUCAAUAUUUCAUGAACACAAAUGUCAGCAAGGAGGAAAAGGCAUUAUCAUAUUAAUUGCUGCAGCAACAUGCCAGUUAUGCUUCAUUAUGGUAAUAACAUAUUAUCAAUAUGAUGAACUUUCAACUUUAUUAUGUUUUAGGUACUUGUUAAAAAUUAGUCUUAUGCAACAAAGUGGUUAUCUAUUGAAUAGUGUUUUGUAAUUAGUAGUUUCAUAAUAGGAUUUAAUUUGAAAUAAUCGUUACGAUUGCUCAACUUUUAUUUCCGUUGAGUAUUGAUAGUGAUAAUGCAACAAUGGAUGUGAUAUGGUGGUUAUAAAUAGAAAUUCGAAGCAAAAUAAUGUUGAUAACAAUAAUAAUGGUAAUAGUAUUACAUUACCAAUGAAAUGGGAUACUUAGUAGAGAGUCAAUUAGUAAAUAACAGUAAAAUGUUAAUGUAGUUGUUAAUAUAGGUUGAAAAUGCUAGAAAUUAGGUUGUUAUCAUAAAUACCUGCUAAUAUUAUAGUAGAUAUUAUUGUUUUUUAAUGUUUUAAUAUGUUUAAGUAAUUAUUUGCUAAGAACUCUCAAGAAUAUGAAUUAUUUCGGUUUUGAACUUGAAUUUUUUUCAAUGUCAAUGUCAAAACUCAGAAUAAAAACAAGAAAUAUUAAGUUAAUAAACACAAAAUAUCAUUUCAGGUCAUUUUUUGUUCGUAAAAAAUAUGUAGGAUAGGUAUAAUCAUGAAAAAGGUGCGUUUAUCAUUAAAAACAUAAAAAUCCUUAUCUAUUAUGAAUAAUCCUUUGUGAUUCAUAUCGGUAUUAAUGAAAUAAAUCAUAUUUUUGAGAUUUUUUGCGAAUAAUUACUUAAAAGAUGUAAAUACAUAAAAAAACAAUAAUAUCUCCUAUAAUAUAAGUAGGGAUUUAUGAUAACAAAGUGAUUUCGAGAAUUCUCGAUCAAUUUCAGCAUUUAUGCAUUAUUGGCGGUUAUUUCUUCAUAAUAUUUAGUAAAGAUUCGAUAAGAAUUGAUAUUUACGUUAAUAUUAUUACCAAAUUCAUAAAACUAAAGAAAAUGUCAUAAGUUUUAAUUAAAACGCAAAAAUAAGUAAAAGAACAUCCGAUAUUACUUCAUUAUCAUAGAAAUUAUCAAUAAAAGUAAAAAAUCAACACUGCGAUAAUAAUCCAAUGAAUAGUUCAUGUGUUAAUAUUGAUACGCGUUAAUUAAAAGUAAAUAUCACCUCGUUA